rfam:Lactobacillus hayakitensis DSM 18933 = JCM 14209 strain DSM 18933 NODE_20, whole genome shotgun sequence.
UAAAUUGAGAGUUUGAUCCUGGCUCAGGAUGAACGCUGGCGGCGUGCCUAAUACAUGCAAGUCGAACGCAACUUUCUUACACCGAUGCUUGCAUCACCGUAAGAAAGUUGAGUGGCGGACGGGUGAGUAACACGUGGGUAACCUGCCCAGAAGAGGGGGAUAACACUUGGAAACAGGUGCUAAUACCGCAUAUCUCUAAGAACCGCAUGGUUCUUAGAUGAAAGAUGGUUCUGCUAUCGCUUCUGGAUGGACCCGCGGCGCAUUAACUAGUUGGUGGGGUAACGGCCUACCAAGGUGAUGAUGCGUAGCCGAACUGAGAGGUUGAUCGGCCACAUUGGGACUGAGACACGGCCCAAACUCCUACGGGAGGCAGCAGUAGGGAAUCUUCCACAAUGGGCGAAAGCCUGAUGGAGCAACGCCGCGUGAGUGAAGAAGGUCUUCGGAUCGUAAAGCUCUGUUGUUAGAGAAGAACACUGAUGAGAGUAACUGUUCAUCAGUUGACGGUAUCUAACCAGCAAGUCACGGCUAACUACGUGCCAGCAGCCGCGGUAAUACGUAGGUGGCAAGCGUUAUCCGGAUUUAUUGGGCGUAAAGGGAACGCAGGCGGUUUUUUAAGUCUGAUGUGAAAGCCUUCGGCUUAACCGGAGAAUAGCAUUGGAAACUGGAAGACUUGAGUGCAGAAGAGGAGAGUGGAACUCCAUGUGUAGCGGUGAAAUGCGUAGAUAUAUGGAAGAACACCAGUGGCGAAAGCGGCUCUCUGGUCUGUAACUGACGCUGAGGUUCGAAAGCGUGGGUAGCAAACAGGAUUAGAUACCCUGGUAGUCCACGCCGUAAACGAUGAAUGCUAGGUGUUGGAGGGUUUCCGCCCUUCAGUGCCGCAGCUAACGCAAUAAGCAUUCCGCCUGGGGAGUACGACCGCAAGGUUGAAACUCAAAGGAAUUGACGGGGGCCCGCACAAGCGGUGGAGCAUGUGGUUUAAUUCGAAGCAACGCGAAGAACCUUACCAGGUCUUGACAUCCUUUGACCACUUGAGAGAUCAAGCUUUCCCUUCGGGGACAAAGUGACAGGUGGUGCAUGGCUGUCGUCAGCUCGUGUCGUGAGAUGUUGGGUUAAGUCCCGCAACGAGCGCAACCCUUGUUGUCAGUUGCCAGCAUUAAGUUGGGCACUCUGGCGAGACUGCCGGUGACAAACCGGAGGAAGGUGGGGACGACGUCAAGUCAUCAUGCCCCUUAUGACCUGGGCUACACACGUGCUACAAUGGAUGAUACAACGAGUCGCGAGACCGCGAGGUUUAGCUAAUCUCUUAAAGUCAUUCUCAGUUCGGAUUGUAGGCUGCAACUCGCCUACAUGAAGUCGGAAUCGCUAGUAAUCGCGAAUCAGCAUGUCGCGGUGAAUACGUUCCCGGGCCUUGUACACACCGCCCGUCACACCAUGAGAGUUUGUAACACCCAAAGCCGGUGGGGUAACCUUUUAGGAGCUAGCCGUCUAAGGUGGGACAGAUGAUUGGGGUGAAGUCGUAACAAGGUAGCCGUAGGAGAACCUGCGGCUGGAUCACCUCCUUU